ACAGACUCCUACGGGAGGCAGCAGUGGGGACUCUUGGGCAAUGGGCGCCCGCCUGACCCCGCCCCGCCGCGUGCCGGCCGAAGGCUUUCGGGUUGUAAACUUCUUUUCUCAGGGCCGCCGCAAGUGACGGUACCUGAGGAAUAAGCCACGGCUAACUACGUGCCAGCAGCCGCGGUAAUACGUAGGUGGCAAGCGUUAUCCGGAUUUACUGGGUGUAAAGGGCGUGUAGGCGGGAAAGCAAGUCAGAUGUGAAAACCAUGGGCUCAACCUGUGGCCUGCCUUUGAAACUGUUUUUCUUGAGUACUGGAGAGGCAGACGGAAUUCCUAGUGUAGCGGUGAAAUGCGGAGAUAUUAGGAGGAACACCAGUGGCGAAGGCGGUCUGCUGGACAGCAACUGACGCUGAGGCGCGAAAGCGUGGGGAGCAAACAGGAUUAGAUACCCCGGUAGA
rnacentral:rRNA from 1 species